UACGUAGGGGGCUAGCGUUGUCCGGAAUCAUUGGGCGUAAAGCGCGUGUAGGCGGCCCGGUAAGUCCGCUGUGAAAGUCGGGGGCUCAACCCUCGGAUGCCGGUGGAUACUGUCGGGCUCGAGUACGGAAGAGGCGAGUGGAAUUCCUGGUGUAGCGGUGAAAUGCGUAGAUAUCAGGAGGAACACCCGUGGUGCAGACGGCUUGCUGGACCGUGACUGACGCUGAGGCACGAAAGCGUGGGUAGCAAACAGG
rnacentral:rRNA from 1 species